UCGCGACCCCAGGUCAGGCGGGACUACCCGCU
rnacentral:rRNA from 1 species